ACUGCCUUGCCCUUCUCCCGUCAAUCCUUACCACACACACAUAUAAACACCUACAGAUCUGUCAGAUGAUGGCUUGAUCACUCUCCACAAACUCUCACUAGUCUCUCACUUUCUGUUUUUUCUGUUUUCAUCAUUCUAUCAUUACAUAAAACUGUCUCCCUCCCCUUUUUGUAGACCUUUUGCUACCACUCUGCCUUUUCCCCAAGACUUGCUGCCUGCUCUGGGCUUGUGCUUGCCACAUCAAAGGAGAAUCAAGGGUCACAAAGCCACCGGCAUGGAAUAUAAAUGCAGCUAGCAGCAUGGAAGUAUGGGAAAUCAAUCCUCUAAAGAUCUUCAUCUACUUCAAGAGCCCAUCAUCAUCCUCCAUCAUGUGCACAACAGAGGAUCCUGCAGGAACACUUGCAUCACGAAAGCUAAUGAUUUACACAAGCUCCAGUCUGGA
ensembl:lncRNA